rnacentral:rRNA from 1 species
GAUGAACGCUAGCUACAGGCUUAACACAUGCAAGUCGAGGGGAAACGACGUCGAAAGCUUGCUUUUGAUGGGCGUCGACCGGCGCACGGGUGAGUAACGCGUAUCCAACCUGCCCAUCACUUGGGAAUAACCUUGCGAAAGUAAGACUAAUACCCAAUGACAUCCCACGAAGACAUCUGAAUGGGAUUAAAGAUUUAUCGGUGAUGGAUGGGGAUGCGUCUGAUUAGCUUGUUGGCGGGGUAACGGCCCACCAAGGCAACGAUCAGUAGGGGUUCUGAGAGGAAGGUCCCCCACAUUGGAACUGAGACACGGUCCAAACUCCUACGGGAGGCAGCAGUGAGGAAUAUUGGUCAAUGGGCGAGAGCCUGAACCAGCCAAGUAGCGUGCAGGAUGACGGCCCUAUGGGUUGUAAACUGCUUUUAUAAGGGAAUAAAGUGGGUCUCGUGAGACUUUUUGCAUGUACCUUAUGAAUAAGGACCGGCUAAUUCCGUG